GACGAACGCUGGCGGCGUGCUUAACACAUGCAAGUCGAACGGAAAGGCCCGGCUUUUGUGGGGUGCUCGAGUGGCGAACGGGUGAGUAACACGUGAGUAACCUGCCCUUGACUUUGGGAUAACUUCAGGGAAAUGGGGCUAAUACCGGAUAGGAGCUCCUGCUGCAUGGUGGGGGUUGGAAAGUUUCGGCGGUUGGGGCUGGACUCGCGGCUUAUCAGCUUGUUGGUGGGGUAGUGGCUUACAAAGGCUGUGACGGGUAGCCGGCCUGAGAGGGUGACCGGCCACAUUGGGACUGAGGUACGGACCAGUCUCGUACGGUAGGCAGCAGUGGGGAAUAUUGCACAAUGGGCGGAAGCCUGAUGCAGCAGCGCCGCGUGCGGGAUGACGGCCUUCUGGGUGUAAACCGCUUUCGCCUGUGACGAAGCGUGCGUGACGGUAAUUGGUAAAGAAGCACCGGCUAACUACGUG
rnacentral:rRNA from 1 species